UGGGUAACCUGCCUCAAGAGGGAUGCCUCCCGAAAGGNAUUAUACCGCAUAAUAUGUUUUAAUCG
rnacentral:rRNA from 1 species